AUUGAACGCUGGCGGAAUGCUUUACACAUGCAAGUCGAACGGCAGCACGGGGCAAUCUGGUGGCGAGUGGCGAACGGGUGAGUAAUACAUCGGAACGUGCCCAAUCGUGGGGGGAUAACGUAGCGAAAGCUACGCUAAUACCGCAUACGAUCUACGGAUGAAAGCGGGGGAGUCGCAAGACCUCGCGCGAAUGGAGCGGCCGAUGGCAGAUUAGGUAGUUGGUGGGGUAAAGGCUCACCAAGCCUGCGAUCUGUAGCUGGUCUGAGAGGACGACCAGCCACACUGGAACUGAGACACGGUCCAGACUCCUACGGGAGGCAGCAGUGGGGAAUUUUGGACAAUAGGCGGCAAGACCUCGA
rnacentral:rRNA from 1 species